rnacentral:misc_RNA from 1 species
CUUUUUGUGCAUAAUGUAUAUAUAGGGGGGUAUAGGGUGUCUCCAGAGACACUGAUCGGGCUAUGAGACACCAGACGCACGAGAGACGCACGAGAAAAGCACCGAUCAGAAGAAGCUAAGCGAGUCGGUAUACGAGUUCUUGAGACGGUUUCGAGAACUAUGCGGGUUUAUGAUGCACGAUGUGGGUUUAUCGAUGCUGUUGGGUCGGCCAAGACCCUUCGAUGUGCCUUGAACGGCCUAUUGAUCCAUGUUUGUACUAUGCUAGUUGCGCACGCUGAGGCCAGUGACUAGAUGUUAGUACGAUAUGGUGAUAUAGGUGUGUGGCAUCGGCCAAGACCCUUCGAUGUGCCUUGAAAUGCCUAUUGAUCCAUGUUUGUACUAUGCUAGUUGCGCACGCUGAGGCCAGUGACUAGAUGUUAGUACGAUAUGGUGAUAUAGGUGUGUGGCAUCGGCCAAGACCCUUCGAUGUGCCUUGAAAGGCCUAUUGAUCCAUGUUUGUACUAUGCUAGUUGCGCACGCUGAGGCCAGUGACUAGAUGUUAGUACGAUAUGGUGAUAUAGGUGUGCUUCGAGGCAUGGUGGUUUCCAUUUUUCGUUUGUUACUUUCGCAUCGUUCGGUGCAUUUUGGGGGCUGUUUUGGCUUUUGGUUGCUUGCUUGGCCUUUUGGUUGGGUGGGUCGCUACUAGUCGGGUGGCUUUCGGGAAUGUCGACCGGGAAGGUGCAUGAGUGGUGAUUGGUUUGUUAUGUGUGGAUGGCUGUUUGCUUGCGCAACAACUUCCAUGCUGCAUACCUCUUCAGUUUUGCGGCAAGGCUUGGUUUGUCUUGAGCGUAUUGUGGGUUUCUUGUGUUGCAUACCUAAUUGAUGGUAACGUGUGGGUUUCAUGAUUUUCCUUUUCGUCGUGCGUCGUUCAUGCGGCGUGGGAUGAACAAUGAAGCGGUCUUUGUGAUCCACCGUGUUGUUGCGUUUGCAACAAUGAUGUGGCCUAUGAAGCAUCGUUUGGUUUCUUGUAUACGGAACCUGAUGUGGGCUUGGGUCUUUAUAAGAUCCUCAUUUUGCCCUCGUUAAGCGUUCUCGCUUCUCAAAAACGAUUGCCUGCCAUGUUUUGGCUUGUCCUUGCAUGGUGGGCUACGUCGAAGAGGAAUGCUACCUGGUUGAUCCUGCCAGUAGUCA